CUUUGUGAACUUAUACCCAUACUGUUGCCUCGGCGCAGGCCGGCCUUUUUCGACAAAGGCCCCCUGGAGACAGGGAGCAGUCCGCCGGCGGCCAACCAAACUCUGUUUCUAUAGUGAAUCUCUGAGUAAAAAACAUAAAUGAAUCAAAACUUUCAACAACGGAUCUCUUGGUUCUGGCAUCGAUGAAGAACGCAGCGAAAUGCGAUAAGUAAUGUGAAUUGCAGAAUUCAGUGAAUCAUCGAAUCUUUGAACGCACAUUGCGCCCUCUGGUAUUCCGGAGGGCAUGCCUGUUCGAGCGUCAUUUCAACCCUCAAGCCUGGCUUGGUGAUGGGGCACUGCCUGUGAAAGGGCAGGCCCUGAAAUCUAGUGGCGAGCUCGCCAGGACCCCGAGCGUAGUAGUUACAUCUCGCUCUGGAAGGCCCUGGCGGUGCCCUGCCGUUAAACCCCCAACUUCUGAAAAUU
rnacentral:rRNA from 1 species